UACAGAGGUCUCAAGCGUUGUUCGGAUUCAUUGGGCGUAAAGGGCGCGUAGGCGGCGGGGUAAGUCGGGUGUGAAAUCUCAGAGCUCAACUCUGAAACUGCACUCGAUACUGCUCUGCUUGAGGACUGGAGAGGAGACUGGAAUUCACGGUGUAGCAGUGAAAUGCGUAGAUAUCGUGAGGAAGACCAGUGGCGAAGGCGGGUCUCUGGACAGUUCCUGACGCUGAGGCGCGAAGGCCAGGGGAGCGAACGGG
rnacentral:rRNA from 1 species